rfam:Clostridium roseum strain DSM 7320 CROST_contig000065, whole genome shotgun sequence.
CAACUUAUAUAGCGAUAUAUGACUGAACUGUCAGAAGUCAGCAGAGGUCAUAGUAUCAAAGCAGUCAUGAAUGUUUUGAGAAGGAC